rnacentral:ncRNA from 1 species
UUCUUAUCCAGAGAGGUGGAGGGUCUGGCCCUAUGAAGCCCGGCAACCGUCAUGAGUCAUGUGACAAGGUGCCAAUUCCUGCGAGACAGUGCGUCUCGAUAGAUAAGAA